rnacentral:rRNA from 1 species
UACGUAGGUGACAAGCGUUGUCCGGAUUUACUGGGCGUAAAGAGCGCGCAGGCGGUCGACCAAGUCGAGUGUGAAAGCCCCCGGCUCAACUGGGGAGGGUCAUUCGAUACUGAUCGACUCGAAGGCAGGAGAGGGUAGUGGAAUUCCCGGUGUAGUGGUGAAAUGCGUAGAUAUCGGGAGGAACACCAGUGGCGAAGGCGACUACCUGGCCUGUUCUUGACGCUGAGGCGCGAAAGCUAGGGGAGCAAACGGG